rnacentral:tRNA from 1 species
GCCCUUGUAGCUCAGUGGAUAGAGCAGCAGUUUCCGGAACUGAAGGUCGGCAGUUCGAAUCUGUCCAAGGGCACGA